UUUGCCACGCAUGCGCAGCAGAUGGACGCCGGCCCCGAGGGCGGGGCUCAGCGCACCAGCCGAAACGCGGCCCCUCCCCCGCCGCUCCAGACCCGGGAGGAGGGCAGGGAGACCCUCCCUAUCUUGUUACUGGUACUCAGCCACUGGGGACACUUGACUGAAUGUUCGCCCCUAACUUACCCGGAAAACACGAGAACUAGUUCGAUGUCGUUUCAACCUCACCAAACUCUGCGGAAACUUAGGAAAUUGUCUCUAGUGUCUAGAUACAAUAAUUGUUAGACGGACUUGAAGUCUCUCACCUCCUGUUGUACGCCUCCCGGAAGCAACACCAGGAGUCCAACGGGAUCCCAAACCAGAGCCCAACCAGUAUCCUAUAAAGUCUUCAGAGAGGGAUCCCCUCCAGGCUGGGGAGAAACAGGACAACCUAACAAAACAGGGCCUGGACUCCUCCCUAAACAGACCACGUUUUUCUCCGCUCUUCCCCUUCCCACUCCCUGAAAUCUAGACUAAAACUCUUUUAAGAUAACUGCGAGAUAUAAAGAACGUCUAGAGCCUAAACGGCCCGUUGCCAGAUUCUACUCCUCAGGCCUCAAAUGUGAGCGUCCCAAACAUUCUAGAGCUGAACCUCGUACGCUCGCCCACCAGACUGCCGUGCUCGGGGCUUAGUAUCUCACGCGCGGCAGUUCAAGAACAUCAGACACGCUCAACAAACACUUGUUGCUUGACUGGUACAUUAUGACGGGUAACGCGUCCCACGUAUUUCUUCUUAGAGAUAUACAUCACGCUAUACGUUUCUGAAGAAUGGCUCGAUUUACAGGGGUUCCCACAACGAUUUGUCACAUAUAAAAGAGCGGGCAAGACCCCCGAUCACGUGAUACCGCCCCCAACUCCGGGCGGAAGAGGCCAGCGACAGCGCUGCACGAAGCGAGUGGGCGGGCGCUCGCGCCCGGCUAAAAGAUGGCUGCUGGCGCCGGGCAGCCACCGCCUGGGAGGUUACUGUAAGGCCCGCAGCUCCCGCCAGCUCCCGCGGACUGCUGCCGCCUCCUUACCAUGAAGCCAGUAAGUCGUCGCACGCUGGACUGGAUUUAUUCAGUGGUAAGUCCCGGGGAUCGCGGGCCCCCACCGUGUCGACUCACUGGGCCCGCAGGCUGAAAGGCCCUAUUUCUUCAGCACCCAGAAACUCCAAAAUCCAUUCCUGAAUUAAGCAUUUCACUCCCUCACCUCGACUCCGCCUCUUCCUGGAGGAUACGAUCUUCCGCUUCUUACUUGCUGCUUGCCAUCGUUUUAAUCUCCUGGGGCUGCAUCAUCUAUGCUUCUAUGGUGUCUGCAAGACGACAGCUAAGGAAGAAAUACCCAGACAAAAUCUUUGGGACG